rnacentral:rRNA from 1 species
AGAGUUUGAUCAUGGCUCAGAUUGAACGCUGGCGGCAGGCCUAACACAUGCAAGUCGAGCGGAAACGGCAGCAUUGAAGCUUCGGUGGAUUUGCUGGACGUCGAGCGGCGGACGGGUGAGUAACGGCUGGGAACCUGCCCUGACGCGGGGGAUAACCGUUGGAAACGACGGCUAAUACCGCAUAAUGUCUUAGUUCAUUACGAGCUGGGACCAAAGGUGGCCUCUACAUGUAAGCUAUCGCGUUGGGAUGGGCCCAGUUAGGAUUAGCUAGUUGGUAAGGUAAUGGCUUACCAAGGCGACGAUCCUUAGCUGGUUUGAGAGGAUGAUCAGCCACACUGGGACUGAGACACGGCCCAGACUCCUACGGGAGGCAGCAGUGGGGAAUAUUGCACAAUGGGGGAGACCCUGAUGCAGCCAUGCCGCGUGUGUGAAGAAGGCCUUCGGGUUGUAAAGCACUUUCAGCAGUGAGGAAGGUGGUGUACUUAAUACGUGCAUGGCUUGACGUUAGCUGCAGAAGAAGCACCGGCUAACUCCGUGCCAGCAGCCGCGGUAAUACGGAGGGUGCGAGCGUUAAUCGGAAUUACUGGGCGUAAAGCGCAUGCAGGCGGUUUGUUAAGUCAGAUGUGAAAGCCCGGGGCUCAACCUCGGAACCGCAUUUGAAACUGGCAGGCUAGAGUCUUGUAGAGGGGGGUAGAAUUUCAGGUGUAGCGGUGAAAUGCGUAGAGAUCUGAAGGAAUACCAGUGGCGAAGGCGGCCCCCUGGACAAAGACUGACGCUCAGAUGCGAAAGCGUGGGUAGCAAACAGGAUUAGAUACCCUGGUAGUCCACGCCGUAAACGCUGUCUACUUGGAGGUUGAGGUUUAGACUUUGGCUUUCGGCGCUAACGCAUUAAGUAGACCGCCUGGGGAGUACGGCCGCAAGGUUAAAACUCAAAUGAAUUGACGGGGGCCCGCACAAGCGGUGGAGCAUGUGGUUUAAUUCGAUGCAACGCGAAGAACCUUACCUACUCUUGACAUCCAGC